rnacentral:lncRNA from 1 species
UAAAUAAGUAUACCUAUGUGGUAGGUUGAGCUUUACUUCAAUAUCUUUUAGCAAGAAUAUUGUUUGGUGUUAUAUGUAUAAAUAUGAAUGCAUGAGUUCAGUAUGAGUAUAUAUGAGGAUAUUGAUUUAGUUUUUAUAACUGUUUUUACAGUGUGGUUAGUACGUUCUUAUACUAUUUUCUAAAACUUUGUUUUUGGUCUGCUCACAUUUUCAAUGUUUUGUGCCCCCAGGCAGUAGGCGUGCACAGUGAUCCACCACAUGGUCUUUUUCCAUUUUCCGCGCUUCCCCCUUCCUGAUGUAGGACUCUUCUUAAUUGAGUUGACUCUUUUUGUAAAUUCUUAGUGGUUGCUUUGAUAACCUAC